UCCCAUAACACCUGAUGUACUUGCUACAUCAUUAGAAGAAUGGCAUCUACGCUAAUAUUUGUCUGUUUCUCUCUUGUUCCGAGGUCACCGUAGCCACCAGAUCCAGUCUGUAUCCAGAUCAGAGGGUCACUGCAGUCACCCGGAUCCAGUACGUAUCCAGACCAGAUGGUGGAUCAGCACCUAGAAAGGACCUCUACUGCCCUGAAAGAUAGCGGAGACCAGGACAACUAGAGCCCCAGAUACAGAUCCCCUGUAAAGACCUUGUCUCAGAGGACCACCAGGACAAGACCAAAGGGCUUGUGACUUGUUUGCACAGAUACUAUUUAAACUGAACUGAGCUGGAUGAUGACAUCACCGAAUUCAAUGAUGUCAUUUUGCAUUACUUACACACUGUUUUCCUAAUUUAUGUGGUUCCGUUGCAUUGACACAAUCAGUUAUGUUUAAAGCGCUAUAUAAAUAAAGGUGACUUGAC